rnacentral:rRNA from 1 species
UACGUAGGGUGCAAGCGUUGUCCGGAAUUAUUGGGCGUAAAGAGCUCGUAGGCGGUUUGUCGCGUCUGCUGUGAAAACUCGGGGCUUAACUCCGGGCCUGCAGUGGGUACGGGCAGACUAGAGUGCGGUAGGGGAGACUGGAAUUCCUGGUGUAGCGGUGAAAUGCGCAGAUAUCAGGAGGAACACCGGUGGCGAAGGCGGGUCUCUGGGCCGAUACUGAUGCUGAGGAGCGAAAGCGUGGGGAGCGAACAGG